AGUCCUAAGGACGUGCUGGGAUUUUAGCCUUGGGAUGUAAGCUUUUGGGGCACCUCUGGCACAAAGAAAGGAGAAGAAUCAGCAGCACAGCCCCAGUAUAGGUCUGAUGAGGUCAGAAGCCCGGUGAGGAAGAGAAGUUAAACUUCGAGAGAAACCUAAUGGACAAUCUCCACAGCAGAUUUGUCCGCCGAAGCUUGAAGAAGCUGAGAAAUCUGCCUCGAGGUCACAAAGCUAGUAAAGAAACUGAGGAAUCGAGAGACCACAGAGUUUCCCACGUCUGCACUUGGUGAGGGAGCUGUUGCUAACAGGUAACUUGGCCGGGCUGGUUCCCCCCAGACACGGUAUAACACUUCGAGUUUGAGGCACAAAACUCCCCCCUGAUAGUUAGGACUGUCAUUUCAACCGUUGUUCUUCCCAAAAUAUUUCACAAAACACAAGUUUUGUUGGUUGUUAAUAAGUCUUUUAUGGGGGAAAAAUUCUGUGGUCAAAUA